AGCUGAUGCAGCGACGCCGCGUGAGGGAUGGAGGCCUUCGGGUUGUAAACCUCUUUCGCCAGUGAAGCAGGCCUGUCCCUUUUGUGGGUGGGUUGACGGUAGCUGGAUAAGAAGCGCCGGCUAACUACGUGCCAGCAGCCGCGGUAAUACGUAGGGCGCGAGCGUUGUCCGGAAUUAUUGGGCGUAAAGAGCUCGUAGGCGGCUGGUCGCGUCUGUCGUGAAAUCCUCUGGCUUAACUGGGGGCUUGCGGUGGGUACGGGCCGGCUUGAGUGCGGUAGGGGAGACUGGAACUCCUGGUGUAGCGGUGGAAUGCGCAGAUAUCAGGAAGAACACCGGUGGCGAAGGCGGGUCUCUGGGCCGUUACUGACGCUGAGGAGCGAAAGCGUGGGGAGCGAACA
rnacentral:rRNA from 1 species